GUUUUGAUUUAUUUUGACCUUAUGUAAACCUGAUUGCUAGGUACACGAACGCGUUGGUGAAGUCGGUUCGACGAUUCGUCGAGCCUACGCGAAGUUAUUGAAGAAAUGGACCGUUGAAGCUUUGUUUCCUUCUGGAGGGCCGAGGCGACGCCCAAAAAUCAUGAAAUCGGAAUCGAGGCCUCGUGGCAACUAACCGUAGACCUUUAAUUUUCGGAUCAUGGAUUGGAGGCCGUUCGGGUGGUCGCGCGAGAGUUUGGGCCGAACCGGGUUACGGGUGCCGCGGGAGGCCGAUUGUAAGUGACUACAAGCAAUCGGAGUGCGAGUUGAGGUGGGUUGUGUUUACCGAAGCGACUAAGUCGCCUGUAUGUCUAAGAUGAGUGUUUAUCAUUGAUGCAUAUAGUGGUAGCUAAUGUUAGAGUAUGUGAAUGCAUGAGAUGAAUGCUAUAUGGGCUACCAAUGAAUGCAUGAAUGACAUAGUAUAGAAAUGCUAGAUAAAUGCAUUGAUUAAUGCUAGUUGAAUGCACGUAGUUGAAUGCACGUUGCAUGUUAUAGAAAUGCUAAUGUAAGAAUGCUAAGUGAAUAUAUGAUAAGCAUGAGAUAGAGAACUAUGUUAAAUGACAUGUGCAUGUGGAUACAUAUCUAUACA
rnacentral:lncRNA from 1 species